UACGUAGGGGGCGAGCGUUGUCCGGAUUUAUUGGGCGUAAAGAGCGUGUAGGCGGCCAGGUAGGUCUGCUGUGAAAACUCGAGGCUCAACCUCGAGACGUCGGCGGAAACCAUCUGGCUAGAGUCCGGAAGAGGAGAGUGGAAUUCCUGGUGUAGCGGUGAAUUGCGCAGAUAUCAGGAAGAACACCCGUGGCGAAGGCGGCUCUCUGGGACGGUACUGACGCUGAGACGCGAAAGCGUGGGGAGCGAACAGG
rnacentral:rRNA from 1 species